rnacentral:tRNA from 1 species
GCCUGGGUGGCUCAGUUGGUUGAGCAUCUGACUUCGACUCAGGUCAUGAUCUCGGGGUUCAUGGGUUCAACCCCGUGUCGGACU